rnacentral:rRNA from 1 species
UACGAGGGGGGGCAAGCGUUGUUCGGAAUUAUUGGGCGUAAAGGGUGCGUAGGCGGUUUGGUAAGUCUUAUGUGAAAUCUACAGGCUCAACUUGUAGUCUGCAUGAGAAACUGCCGGGCUUGAGUAUGGGAGAGGUGAGUGGAAUUCCUGGUGUAGCGGUGAAAUGCGUAGAUAUCAGGAGGAACACCGGUGGCGAAGGCGGUUCUCUGGGCAUUACCUGACGCUGAGGAGCGAAAGUGUGGGGGAGCGAACAGG